ACUUGGGUAGUUUAUAAAAAAUUUAGUAUUGUGGUUUCUAAGAAACUUUAUCGUUCCAAGUU
rnacentral:tRNA from 1 species